UUAGUUUUUCUCAAAACUAUACUUUUCAUGUUACAUUAUUUCAUUAUUCCAGCGACGAUAUGUACAUAUGUGCAACAUACAAUUAGCAUGUCAUGGGGGUGCUAUUUUGGACUUAAUGCGUUUUGGAAAUAAGUUUUCCUUUUCGUCUAGGUUGCUGUACAAAAGACGUCUUGAAGCAUCGGCAGCUACAUUUAAACAAAUAUAUAUAUUUUAAUACAUAAAUUAUUUAUUUUUAGUUAUUCAAAUUUUUUUAAUUUUUCGUUUAGAUUGUUUCUAUCGGAGAGUCAUUGGAUGUUGCCCAUAGCCAUUGGAAAAUGCUGCAUGGGAAAGAUGAUAACAAAGAUGAAGGGAAAGAUGCCUACAAACGUCUCGAUUCAGUGCAGUCAUCAUAGGAGCAGUAAAUGGUGUUCGGUGAUUCUGCCAAUUUAAUAUGAAGUGUCCGACAAACGCCAGCAGUUACUUGAAAUCAACUUUUGAAAAGAUCUAUAUAUAAGUCGUAAAAACGCAAUCAAAUUUUGCAAAGUUAUAACGAAACCGAUUUUUUGUGAACCAAUGUAAAUGAUUUGCAACUGUUAAUAUAUAUCAAAAGAAGGGUAAAUCGAUUACCUUUCUUUUGAUUAUAAU